GUGUCAGCAGCCGCGGUAAUACGGGGGGUGCAAGCGUUACUCGGAAUCAUUGGGCGUAAAGGGCGCGUAGGCGGCCAGGUAAGUCAGGUGUGAAAGCCCGGGGCUUAACCCCGGAAGUGCAUUUGAUACUGCUUGGCUUGAGUAUGGGAGAGGGUAGUGGAAUUCCCGGUGUAGCGGUGAAGUGCGUAGAUAUCGGGAAGAACACCAGUAGCGAAGGCGGCUACCUGGCUCGCAACUGACGCUAAGGCGCGAAAGCGUGGGGAGCAAACAGGAUUAGAUACCCUGGUAGUCCACAGCCGUAAACGAUGUGCACUAGAUGUUGGGGCCGACUUGUCGGCCUCAGUGCCGCAGCUAACGCAUUAAGUGCCCCGCCUGGGGAGUACGCUCGCAAGGGUGAAACUCAAAUGAAUUGGCGGGG
rnacentral:rRNA from 1 species